UUUCGUUUCUAUAGUAACGUGAACAGUAUUCAGAAGCAAGACUGUUCUGCUGCACUGUAACUAACGCCUGAGGCUAGAACUUGGAUUCUUCUUCAAAUAACGAAAUAAGUGCAUUCCUCAUUCGCUCAGUUGCCUAUCGACACAAAUAUUUUCACCCUUUCUCUUCUAAAACUACGUUUCCAGACGUCGAGCGCUGGGACAGUACAACACAGCAUCUAAUACCGGAUUACAGAUUGAAGUGGAUGGGAAAGAAGUGAGGCAGGCAUCGCCGCCUGCCCUAUAAAUUAUCA